rnacentral:ribozyme from 1 species
UGCCCAGCAACUCCUAUCCCUACCUCCUCGUGGUACUAGCCGGGGAACGAGUAACCUUGGAGAAAAUCGG